rnacentral:misc_RNA from 1 species
CCGAGUUUACAACUUGCAAACCCCUGUGAACAUCCCUAUCGUGGCUUCGGGGGACCGCCCGGGCUCCGCGCCCGGAACCAGGCGAUCGUCGGGGGCCACAAACUCUUGUAUUUUUUGGAAUCUUCUGAGUGAAAAAACAAAUGAAUCAAAACUUUCAACAACGGAUCUCUUGGUUCUGGCAUCGAUGAAGAACGCAGCGAAAUGCGAUAAGUAAUGUGAAUUGCAGAAUUCAGUGAAUCAUCGAAUCUUUGAACGCACAUUGCGCCCGCCAGUAUUCUGGCGGGCAUGCCUGUUCGAGCGUCAUUUCAACCCUCAAGCCCCCGGGCUUGGUGUUGGGGACCGGCCACCGCGGACUCGUCCGCCGGCCGCCCCCUAAAUCCAUUGGCGGUCACGCCGCGGCUUCCUCUGCGUAGUAGCACACCUCGCAGCCGGAUCGCGGCGCGGCCACGCCGUAAAACCCCAACUCUGAAAU